AUCUUCGGAUGUUAGUGGCGAACGGGUGAGUAACACGUAAGUAACCAACCCAUUAGACGAGGAUAACUACUGGAAACAGUAGCUAAUACUGGAUAGGAUACAUUGAAGAAAGUUGAUGUAUUUAAAGAUCCUUCUGGGAUUACUAAUGGAUGGGCUUGCGGCGCAUUAGCUAGUUGGUAGGGUAAAGGCCUACCAAGGCGACGAUGCGUAGCCGACCUGAGAGGGUGACCGGCCACACUGGGACUGAGACACGGCCCAGACUCCUACGGGAGGCAGCAGUAGGGAAUCUUCGGCAAUGGACGAAAGUCUGACCGAGCAAUGCCGCGUGAGUGAAGAAGGUCUUCGGAUUGUAAAGCUCUGUUAUUAGGGAAGAAAGAUAAUAGUAGGAAAUGACUAUUAAGUGACGGUACCUAAUGAGAAAGCCACGGCUAACUACGUGCCAGCAGCCGCGGUAAUACGUAGGUGGCAAGCGUUGUCCGGAAUUAUUGGGCGUAAAGAGUGCGUAGGCGGUCUAUUAAGUCUGGUUUGAAAGCCCAUGGCUUAACCAUGGAGGGUGACUGGAAACUGGUAGACUUGAGUAUAGGAGAGGAAAGUGGAAUUCCACGUGUAGCGGUGAAAUGCGUAGAUAUGUGGAGGAACACCGGUGGCGAA
rnacentral:rRNA from 1 species